rnacentral:rRNA from 1 species
CCUACGGGUGGCAGCAGUGAGGAAUAUUGGUCAAUGGACGGAAGUCUGAACCAGCCAUGCCGCGUGCAGGAUGACGGCUCUAUGAGUUGUAAACUGCUUUUGUACGAGAAUAAUAGUUCUUACGUGUAGGGCUUUGCAUGUAUCGUACGAAUAAGGAUCGGCUAACUCCGUGCCAGCAGCCGCGGUAAUACGGAGGAUUCGAGCGUUAUCGGGAUGUAGUGGGGUUAAAGGGUGCGUAGGCUGUCGGAUAAGUUAGAGGUCAAAUGUCGGGGCUUAACCCCGGGACUGCCUCUGAUACUGUUAGACUAGAGAGCGGAUGCAGCAGGCGGAAUGAGUAGUGUAGCGGUGAAAGGCUUAGAUAUUACUUAGAACACCGAUUGCGCAGGCAGGUUGCUA